rnacentral:rRNA from 1 species
UACAGGGGGGGCAAGCGUUGUUCGGAAUUACUGGGCGUAAAGGGCGCGUAGGCGGCCUCUGCAAGUCGACUGUGAAAUCUCCGGGCUUAACCCGGAAAGGUCAGCCGAUACUGCAGGGCUAGAGUGCAGAAGGGGCAACUGGAAUUCUCGGUGUAGCGGUGAAAUGCGUAGAUAUCGAGAGGAACACCUGCGGCGAAGGCGGGUUGCUGGGCUGACACUGACGCUGACAGCGCGAAAGCUAGGGGAGCGAACGGG